rnacentral:rRNA from 1 species
CCUGGUUGAUCCUGCCAGUAGUCAUAUGCUUGUCUCAAAGAUUACGCCAUGCAUAUGUAAGUAUGAACAAAUUUAGACUGUGAAAAUGCGAAUGGCUCAUUAAAUCAGUUAUAGUUUGUUUGAUGGUAUCUACUACUCGGAUAACCAUAGUAAUUCUAGAGCUAAUACAUGCAACAACCCCUAACUUCUGGAAGGAAUUCAUUUAUUAGAUAAAAGGUCGACGCGGGCUCUGCCCGUUGCUGCAAUGAUUCAUGAUAACUCGAUAGAUCGCACGGCCAUCGUGCCGGCGACGCAUCAUUCAAAUUUCUGCCAUAUCAACUUUCAAUGGUAAGAUAGUGGCCUACUAUGGUGGUGACGGGUGACAGAGAAUUAGGGUUCAAUUCCGGAGAGGGAGCCUGAGAAACGGCUACCACAUCCAAGGAAGGCAGCAGACGCGCAAAUUACCCAAUCCUGACACGGGGAGGUAGUGACAAUAAAUAACAAUACCGGGCUCUAUGAGUCUGGUAAUUGGAAUGAGUACAAUCNAACUACAAUCUAAAUCCCUUAAGGAGGAUCCAUUGGAGGGCAAGUCUGGUGCCAGCAGCCAUGGUAAUUCCAGCUCAAAUAGCGUAUAUUUAAGUUGUUGCAGUUAAAAAACUCGUAGUUGGACUUUGGGAUGGGCCGGUCGGUCCGCCUUAGGUGUGCACCGGUCGUCUCGUCCCUUCUGCCGGCGAUGCGCUCCUGGCCUUAAUUGGCCGGGUCGUGCCUCCGGCGNGGGUCAUGCCUCCGGCACUGUUACUUGGCCAUUACGAGUUUAGAGUAUUUGAGUGCUCAAACCAAUCCUACACUCUGUAUACAUUAGCAUGGGAUAACAUUAUUGUAUUUCGGUCCUAUUACGUUGGCCUUCGGGAUCAGAGUAAUGAUUAACAGGGACAGUCGGGUGCAUUCGUAUUUCAUAGUGAGAGGUGAAAUUCUUGGAUUUAUGAAGGACGAACAGCUGCAAAAGCAUUUGCCAAGGAUGUUUUCAUUAAUCAUGAACGAAAGUUGGGGGCUCGAAGAUGAUCAGAUACCGUCCUAGCCUCAACCAUAAACGAUGCCGACCAGGGAUUCGCGGAUGUUGAUUUUAGGACUCCGCCUACACCUUAUAAGAAAUCAAUGUUUUUGGGUUCCGGGGGUAGUUUGGUCGCAAGGCUGAAACUUAUAGGAAUUGAUGGAAGGGCACCACCAUGAGUGGAGCCUGCGGCUUAAUUUGACUCAACACGGGGAAACAUACCAGGUCGAGACAUAGUAAGGAUUGACAAACUGAGAGUUCUUUCUGGAUUCUAUGGGUAGUGGUGCAUGGCCGUUCUUAGCUGGUGGAGCGAUUUGUCUUGUUAAUUCCAUUAACGAAUGAGACCUCAGCCUGCUAUCUAGCUAUGCGGAGGUAUCCCUUUGCGGCCAGCUUCUUAGAGGGACUACGGCCUUUAAGGCCGCGAAGUUUGAGGCAAUAAUAGGUUUGUGAUGCCCUUAGAUGUUCUGGGCCGCAUGCGCGCUACACUGAUGUAUUCAACGAGUUUAUAGCCUUGGCCGACAGGCCCGGGUAAUCUUUGAAAUUUCAUCGUGAUGGGGAUAGAUCAUUGCAAUUGUUGGUCUUCAACGAGGAAUUCCUAGUAAGCGCGAGUCAUCAGCUCGCGUUGACUACGUCCCUGCCCUUUGUACACACCGUCCAUCGCUCCUACCAAUUGAAUGAUCCAGUGAAAUGUUCGGAUCAUGGCAACGUGGACGGUUCGCUGCCCACGACGUCGCGAGAAGUCCAUUGAACCUUUUCAUUUAGUGGAAGGAGAAGCCGUAACAAGGUUUACGUAGGUGAACCUGCGGAAG